GAAGCCCUUAGAUUUAUGUUUUGUAAAGCACAUUUACAAAAAAUUCUGCAGCCAUGAGGUAACAGAGAAAGUAUUUUGUUUUACUGCUGUGACUCUACAAAAGCACCAGAACCCUGCUCAGUCACAAAACAUUUGGCCAUGUGCUUUCACCAGUCUGAGCUCCUUCAGAGUAAAGCAAGCACCUCUGCUCUGUAACAGGAUAAUGCAAAUCAACAAGGUUGCGCAUAGUAGAGGAAGCGAUGCAGCAAAGGCAGGGCAACAGAGACUCAGCAGAUGGAUACAGAUACGGAUCAAGCUCAUCCUGCAGCUGUUCUUAACGCUGCCCAGAAAGAAGAGAUGUCCAAAGACAGUCUAGGGAGGCAGCUGGGGCUGCCACUGGAAAAGCCCGAAGAGUCUGGUAUGUGGGGAACAAGAAUUGUGCUCUAUUACAGGACCCAAGGUUUGAUCUGCAAACUUUGAGGAUAUGAUAAGAAAUUGAUUUGGGUCAGGAGCACUCCUAAAUAAAUAAUGUAUUUUAUAACUGGGCAAAGAGAAGCUGUACUGUUGGUAUGAAUUAGGCAUGUUUUCAGCAUGCUGAAUAGAGCCCGUCUUUCUAGAUACACCAAUGGCACACAUACAGAUGCCUAAGCUUAAACACCUAAGGAACUUUCGGACUCGAAAUACCAGCAUCUGACAGAUUUUGCAAAUGAUGGAUGUAUAUGCUUUGAUUUUGCCUAAGUGCCACACUAGGCACCUAUAGAUAUCUGGAAAUCUUAUGGCAGGUAGUUCAGAAGAUUUUCAUAUCUGAAGGUAACACACCCUACUAGACACAUACAGUACUUUGCACUGUAACUUAUACCUGCUUCUUCUGAGUACCUUUUGCAAGCUUGCAAUCAUCUCCUACUUGCUGGAUCUUAUUUUUAAUUUCAGUAGCAUAUUGAUUAUGAAAUCUAGUGAAAAUGCAUUAUUAUCUUGCCUAGGGCAAAUGAAUUGGCCCGAGAUAAUGCUGCAACAUUCCAAAUCAUAAUUUAAAUAGUUAUCCUCUUUUAUUCUGCUUGAUUAUACUGAUACUUUAUAAUGAGAUUACCAGGAAAAAUAUGGAUCCUAUCUAAAAUACUUAUAAUUAAAUUGGUGUGAUGCAAGAUCAGCAUAUCUGAUCUUAGAUUAAGAUGAAGAUUUGAAGGAGGAAAUGUAUCACUAUGAUAUUGCUUGGUUGAAAUACGCACAUCCUUAAAACGUCUUACUAUUCGUCUAACACCUGUUUUUCCAAGAAAACAACAGUUAUUUAUUAAUAGUACAUUUAAACAGUGAAUACCAUUUAUUUCCUAGUUCUGUAUUAAGAAUACAGAUUGUCCUUCUUGCCCACUCUCUUUUCAAUUAAGCUAAAUAUUACAAGUGAUUCUGACAAAAGAAGUGUUGGCUUUGAAGAGUUGCUACACCAGAAUAGUGGCUGCACCAAAUGGAGCUCAGACAUACUCUAAGAGUGACAUUGCAAGGAGCUCGAGUUGCCUGUAAGACCACUUAUAUAACUUGCAAAGCUGUCUACAGUAACUCUCGAUGUCAAAAUCAGUGUUACUGAUAAUAAAAAAGGGCAACUUAAGAUGAAAUUGGAAAAAGAAUUUACUAGGAAUAUAUACAGUGAACAUGUAAUUUCAAUUUCUUCAGACCCAAGAUAAAAUUCUUAUUAAUUACAGAAAUAUUCCUUCCAUAACAUUGCCAGGAUCCACUUCUAAUGCUGAACACCAAAUUCAGUACUAAAAUAUUCCAUAAAUCCUGAGAAGACAGCCAGCUUGAAAUAGAAAAUAAAACAAAUGCCAAAAGAAAAGACUUUGAUGUAUUCAUUUUUCCCUUUUAUAGCGCAGAGCAUUGGUUUGAUUUAUUUCUCAUUUUUUAGUUCAAUAUUUUCAGUGUCUGUGAAUGCUAGCUCAUGAUUUUUCCACUGGGAGAAGUAGGAUACAGAAAUGACACCAGUGGUUGGUAAGCAUAGGCAAUUAAGUCAACUAAACUUUGUAAUUAACGUGUAAAGAAUCUGCAAGACUGAACUUACUCUGGUUUUAAUCAGUCUCUUAAGAAUACUAUGUGGGGAAAAAAAAUUCACAUACUUUUUUCUUCUGUAAAUCACUGCACUUUCUCCAACUGGUUAGACAAAAGCUCGUCUGAGCCAUUAUCUCUAACAAUAACCAGUAAUAAAAAUAUGGCAAGCAGUCCUCUAAGUUAAAUAAUGAGUUAUUUUACCUGCUGUACCAACCCCAAAUACACUUUAACCUCUUCUUUCACUCUGCAUUGUCCACAUUCAGACAAAUAUAUACAGAGAAAUCUCACUGAAGUUAACAUUAGCUGAAGAUACACAUAGUACAUCUGACUUCCAGCCAGUAGCUUUCUGCUUCAUUAGGCAAAAUAUAAAAACACCACAACACUUAGCAGGCUUUCCAUGAAAUGGAAUGCAUGGAAAACUUGCAUGAUUAAAGAAAAACAAAAUCAGUGUUUGACAGAAGACCAAGAAUAUCCCCCAAUCUCACUGCCACUUGUGCCAACUUUAAUUGGAAUAAUUCUAGCAUAGUAAGUAGGGGCACAUUUUCAAACAAAAGAAAAAAUGUGAUGCAAGAAAAGAGAACGAUUACUCAGAAACAAACCAUGUGAAGGCUGCACCCUGUAUCAACAAAUUCAGGGUCAUUCUUGAAAGUAUAACUCUAAGUAUUUGUUAAUUAGUGUGGAAUUUCAAGCAACUUUUCAAGCUAAUAAAUUUCUCUAUUUUAUGGUCAAAUCAUCAACCUCUUUCUCAUUCUGAUGAACUGUAAUUCACAGAAGUUAACUAUGGAGGGAUUAUUUAUGUAAAGCUUUACCGACUGAACAGCAGCUUUAAUUCUUUCCUUUUAAGAAUGGCAAUACUUUGAAUAUUGCCACAGCUAUCUUGCAUUUACUUGACAAGCAAACUGAAAAAUUAGUGUCAGUUUAAAUUAUCAGUAUUUCAUUUUCCAGAUAUUGAUUUAAUGUGAAACUUCCCAUUUCCCUAGUACUUUAAAUCACAGCCCUGGACAGUUGUCAUACUGUGGUCCAGGAUCAGACUGUAUCUCAAACUUAAUUCCUUUUUUCUCUAGAGCUAUAGCUGGCUCCUACUGUAGCUUUGUGGCUCUGUAAACACACUGUUGCCAUUCCUAGGCACAGGCUGCAGACUGCAGACUUGCUUUGCAAGUCCACAGGACCAAGGCUUGUCAGGCUUAGUUUGAAUUUUCUUGGCCUGUCUGCACCCUUCUGGGGGGCUUGUUUAGGUGUAACAAUAAUUUUUCUGAUUUAUUUUACUUUUGCUUCUCUUUUUCGUUCGUUAUAACCGUAACUUUUAUAUAUGAUAGUAACACAAGGUUAUUCUGAUAUGAUGAAAUAUUAAAUAAUGGCAUAAUGAUACAGUGUAUCAGUGUAGAGGCUACAGUGUAGAGGAAUACAAGGCUGGUCUGAUAGCAGAAGCCUUGAGAAUGAGGCAGUGCAGAAUUCAGGCAUGGGUCGACAAGAAAAGGGGGACGAGUUGACACUAGAAACCCAAGGGCUAUAAACAACUCACCAAUUGCCAGUUAAAGAAUGCCUACACUGAGCUGAGCAAAAUGAAGGUAAUGAAGAACAAUAUCUAAAAUACGUAAAAUGCACCAGGUUGAGUAAAUUUGGAUGUAAUGUAUGCUGGCAAAACAAUGAAUAAACACCAAGGUGCAGAACAUUAACAAAUACAUAAAAAUGGCUCAAAGUGUAUCCUUAAGUGGAUGAAGAAACCAAGAACACCAAUAUCAUAUUCCUCCUAGUGAAGAAGAGCAAGUAACCCCAGCAUCAACAUUUCACUCCUCUCAGUGAAAGACUUGGGGCACUGGUGGUUUUCUGCAUCCCCCUUCCUUUCUGCUCGAGGCCGACUAGCAUUGUUGACCUUAGCAGGCAGAGGCAACGAAAGGAUGAGCAGAGAAACAGAUGUAGGUGCUAGGAAUUGUGUGCACAACAAUCUUCAUAGUAUUAUUAUUUUUGAGAUUUUUUCUGAAAUUGUAUUCUUUAUUUUCUUUUUCUGUAACAACUAGAUCUGGGCUAGUAAGAAUUCUUUGAUUAGACUUUUCUAUCAUAAUAAAAAUAAAUUCACAGCAUUA